rnacentral:rRNA from 1 species
UACAGAGGGGGCAAGCGUUAUUCAGAAUUAUUGGGCGUAAAGGGCGCGUAGGCGGCUUUGCAAGUGACGGGUGAAAGCCCUCGGCUUAACCGAGGAACUGCCUGUCAGACUGUGAGGCUUGAGACCGGGAGAGGUGAGUGGAAUUCCCAGUGUAGCGGUGAAAUGCGUAGAUAUUGGGAGGAACACCAGUGGCGAAGGCGGCUCACUGGACCGGAACUGACGCUGAGGCGCGAAAGCGUGGGGAGCAAACAGG